UACGUAGGUGGCAAGCGUUGUCCGGAAUCACUGGGCGUAAAGGGCGCGUAGGCGGCCUGAUAAGUAGGGGGGUGAAAUCCUGCGGCUUAACCGCAGGGCUGCCUUCUAAACUGUCAGGCUCGAGCACAGUAGAGGCAGGUGGAAUUCCCGGUGUAGCGGUGGAAUGCGUAGAGAUCGGGAAGAACAUCAGUGGCGAAGGCGGCCUGCUGGGCUGUUGCUGACGCUGAGGCGCGACAGCGUGGGGAGCAAACAGG
rnacentral:rRNA from 1 species